rnacentral:rRNA from 1 species
CUUUUAUUGAGAGUUUGAUCCUGGCUCAGGACGAACGCUGGCGGCGUGCCUAAUACAUGCAAGUCGAACGCUUUGAUUUUCACCGGAGCUUGCUC